CAUACCAAGUACUCAUGAAUUCAACAUUCGCUGUCUUGGUACCAGACCCUAUAUCGGUACCAUCCUAUUAUAGUGUAAGGAUACGGUACAGUACAAGAUGGCAAGGUGACCAAGUGUUUGUAUGAUACGAGGCUGCAUACCAGUUUAAUACUGGUAUGGUACGGUAUGUCCUAUACAGUACCAACCGAUAUGGUGAACCUUGCAUGAAUUCUCUAAGUUUAAGUGGAAGAAGUUUUCUAUGGUAAUGUUAAUUUUCAAGAGGGUCUAUUUACAGGUUAUUCUACAGAAUGUUUUUGAGAAAAGGUAGGAGGAG
rnacentral:lncRNA from 1 species